rnacentral:rRNA from 1 species
CAAUAGCGUAUAUUAAAGUUGUUGCAGUUAAAAAGCUCGUAGUUGGAUUUGUGGCGUACGGUGUGUUCCGGGCACUUGUUGCCUGAGUAACCUGCUGUUGCCAUCCUUGGAUGGAACCUGUGUGGCAUUAGGUUGUCGUGCAGGGGAUGCCCAUCAUUUACUGUGAAAAAAUUAGAGUGUUCAAAGCAGGCUUAUGCCGUUGAAUAUAUUAGCAUGGAAUAAUGAGAUAGGACUUUUUUGCUAUUUUGUUGGUUUGCGCAAAGAGGUAAUGAUUAAUAGGGACAGUUGGGGGUAUUCGUAUUCCAUUGUCAGAGGUGAAAUUCUUGGAUUUUUGGAAGACGAACUACUGCGAAAGCAUUUACCAAGGAUGUUUUCAUUAA